rnacentral:lncRNA from 1 species
CCGAAGCACCGAAUUCAUCCCUUGCUCGGGAAAGGCCAGRCAGUUAAAAGGAAAGGGGCCGCGCGUGCACCUCGAGCGAUUCCCUCCCCACCGAAUGCAGCGACAGACUCCGUCCAGAGAGGUUGGAAAAGGGGCUGGGUACAUGAUCUCAUCUGCCCGGUGCUCGAAGGAAGGAGAAGGAAAGGGACCAGUGCAGAUGCGUAAGAAGGAAAGAAAGAAGCACCUUCUGAUCAGGUUAUUUUGUGCUCAGAAUUGCACGGAAACUUCGCUCCAGCAGGUAUUCAGAAGAAAUAUAACUAACGAACAAACUUGGUGGAGAAAGUCCUUAAAGCUUUUAUUCCUUCCUAGGCUUCCUGCAGCAUCGCAUCUUCAGCUAUGGCCUUAUUCAGAAAGAAGCCCAGACUUUGGACCAGGCCCCUGCGUCGUACAGACUUAGCAGGAGGGACCRACUUCUUGUGCGUGUGGCUUGUACAGCACAGAGCACCUGGCGCUUAACAAGUGGUAAGUAAUAAUAAUAACCGUCCACUAACUGCAUAACUGUUUUAAGUAUCUCACGUAAGUGGAUAACUUGAUUUGUAAAUAAACUACAUUUCAGGAAUAUUUCA